rnacentral:rRNA from 1 species
GGGAUUGCCCCAGUAACGGCGAGUGAAGCGGCAAGAGCUCAAAUUUGAAAGCUGGCUCCUUCGGGGUCCGCAUUGUAAUUUGCAGAGGAUGCUUCGGGAGCGGUCCCCAUCUAAGUGCCCUGGAACGGGACGUCAUAGAGGGUGAGAAUCCCGUAUGGGAUGGGGUGUCCGCGCCCGUGUGAAGCUCCUUCGACGAGUCGAGUUGUUUGGGAAUGCAGCUCUAAAUGGGUGGUAAAUUUCAUCUAAAGCUAAAUAUUGGCCGGAGACCGAUAGCGCACAAGUAGAGUGAUCGAAAGAUGAAAAGCACUUUGAAAAGAGAGUUAAAAAGCACGUGAAAUUGUUGAAAGGGAAGCGCUUGCGACCAGACUCGCUCGCGGGGUUCAGCCGGCAUUCGUGCCGGUGUACUUCCCCGCGAGCGGGCCAGCGUCGGUUUGGGCGGUCGGUCAAAGGCCUCUGGAAGGUAACGCCCCCUCGGGGGCGUCUUAUAGCCAGGGGUGCAAUGCGGCCUGCCCGGACCGAGGAACGCGCUUCGGCUCGGACGCUGGCAUAAUGGUCGUAAGCGACCCGUCUUGAAACACGGACCAAGGAGUCUAACAUCUACGCGAGUGUUCGGGUGUCAAACCCGUGCGCGAAGUGAAAGCGAACGGAGGUGGGAACCCGCAAGGGUGCACCAUCGACCGAUCCUGAAGUCUUCGGAUGGAUUUGAGUAAGAGCGUAGCUGUUGGGACCCGAAAGAUGGUGAACUAUGCCUGAAUAGGGCGAAACCCGAGGAAACUCUGGUGGAGGCUCGUAACGGUUCUGACGUGCAAAUCGAUCGUCCAAUUUGGGUAU